rnacentral:rRNA from 1 species
AUGGGCAUCGGAAAAAAAGUUACACACACCAUCAAAGUCCAAAGCUUCAUGUCCUCGACUGAUGCAUGGGGACCUGUCGCGACCCACGAAGGCUUCUUCAUGGAGCGGUGGAAGGAAAUAGACCGCAAUGACACUCCAGUUGUCCUCCAUGGUGGCAUCAUCCACUGGUUACUAUACAAGGAUGUCAAGAUCCUCACUUAUGACGUUCGCGCGGCAGAGCCAGGCAUGCUGGAACUCCCGUUCCUAUGCCCCGAAAUUACUGACUACAACGCAGACCAGCUGCACCUGAGGUCCUACUCGUCACCAGAUGGGUGCCUGCUACUAAGGCUGCUUGUCGUGGCUGGGUGUACUAUCUCCUUGUGGCAUCAGCUCUCUUGUGGUGGUUGGGCACUAGAUACUGUAACCAAGAGGCAAAGCUACGUUCGCUUUUCCCCAAUCUUCCUUCCGACCAUCCUGUUCAGAUUUUGCUUACGCACUCCGGCAAGACGAGCAAUGUCGUGUUUGCUGCCCUUUCGUGGUGUGCAAACAGGUUUUCGCACCCAAACCGUUUUACUUGAUUUGGAGACAAAGGAGAUGCACAUGAUCAAGAAAUAUUGGAACCCCUUUCUUUUGGAGUUUGACUUGGGUUCCCGUCUAAGAGCCAUGAAAAUAUUUUUCUAA